rnacentral:rRNA from 1 species
CCUACGGGUGGCAGCAGUGGGGAAUAUUGGACAAUGGGGGGAACCCUGAUCCAGCCAUGCCGCGUGUGUGAAGAAGGCCCUCGGGUUGUAAAGCACUUUCAGUGAGGAAGAACGCCUGGUGGUUAAUACCCAUCAGGAAAGACAUCACUCACAGAAGAAGCACCGGCUAACUCCGUGCCAGCAGCCGCGGUAAUACGGAGGGUGCGAGCGUUAAUCGGAAUUACUGGGCGUAAAGCGCGCGUAGGUGGCUUGAUAAGCCGGUUGUGAAAGCCCCGGGCUCAACCUGGGAACGGCAUCCGGAACUGUCAAGCUAGAGUGCAGGAGAGGAAGGUAGAAUUCCCGGUGUAGCGGUGAAAUGCGUAGAGAUCGGGAGGAAUACCAGUGGCGAAGGCGGCCUUCUGGACUGACACUGACACUGAGGUGCGAAAGCGUGGGUAGCAAACAGGAUUAGAUACUCCUGUAGUC